AAGUCGUAACAAGGUUUCCGUAGGUGAACCUGCGGAAGGAUCAUUACCACAUCCAAAAUCUUACAAACCCACAAGUGUGAAGUUGUGAUGAGGAACCUUCUUCAUUUUUUUUUGAACCCCUUUUGAACUUUUUACCAAGAGAAUAAGCAAGACUAAAAAAUGAGAAAAGAGAAAACAACUUUUAACGGUGGAUCUCUUGGCUCGU
rnacentral:misc_RNA from 1 species